UGUGAAUGAUGACUCUUUCCUUCCUGACUCACACGUGGAGGCACUAAACUGAUUUAAUGAGCCUGACAC